rnacentral:snRNA from 1 species
GUGCUUGCUUUGGCAGCACAUAUACUAAAAUUGGAAUGAUACAGAGAAAAUUAGCAUGGCCCCUGUGCAAGGAUGACAUGCAAAUUCGUGAAGCGUUCCAUAUUUUU